UACAGAGGUCUCAAGCGUUGUUCGGAUUCAUUGGGCGUAAAGGGGUGCGUAGGCGGCGCGGUAAGUCGGGUGUGAAAUCUCGGAGCUUAACUCCGAAACUGCAUUCGAUACUGCCGGUGCUUGAGGACUGGAGAGGAGACUGGAAUUUACGGUGUAGCGGUGAAAUGCGUAGAUAUCGUAAGGAGACCAGUGGCGAAGGCGGG
rnacentral:rRNA from 1 species